AUGGUUGAAGAGUUUAAUUGGAUUGUGACUCUAGUGAUGAGUCCCACUGGGACUGGGACUCUGGAAGAGAGUCCCACUAGAUUGGGACUCUACUAUUAAUAAAAAAUUAAUUAAUAAUUAAAUUAUUAAUUGAUUUAAUUUGAUUAAGCAAAGAUCUUUGGAUUAAAUCUAAUUGAAUUAGAUUCAGUUUGACUUAGAUUGCAUUUGAUAUGAUCCAGCC
rnacentral:lncRNA from 1 species